rnacentral:sRNA from 1 species
AAUACAAUGUUUGAUUUUUCUCGUAUUACUAUUGAUCCAAAUCCAUCCUACAAUCUAAUCCCUUCCAGUGAAAUAAAAAAUAUAUAAUGGAUUUCACUCUUGGUAUACCGUCUCGUAUUACUAUCGACCCAAACUCGUCCUACCAUCUAACCCCGUUCAGUGAAAUGAAACAUAUCUAAUAAAUUUUAUCUGUGGUAUACCGUCUCAUAUAACUAUCGACCCAAACCCGUCCUACCAUCUAACCCCGUUAAGUAAAAUUAAACAGUAUUUUGUUAUUUUUU